rfam:Ascaris suum AG00093, whole genome shotgun sequence.
GAUCGGGUGACCGAGUGGUUGAGGCGAUGUACUGCUAAUCCGUUGGGGUUUCCCCGCGUGAGUUCGAAUCUCAUCCUGAUCG